rnacentral:lncRNA from 1 species
GAAGGUAUGUUUGGUAGUGUAUGAUUGGUGGAAGGUAUGUUGGUAUUGUAUUAUUGGUGGAAGGUAUGUUGGUAGUGUAUGAUUGGUGGAAGGUAUGUUGGUAGUGUAUGAUUGGUGGAAGGUAUGUUGGUAGUGUAUGAUUGGUGGAAGGUAUGUUGGUGGUGUAUGAUUGGUGGAAGGUAUGUUGGUAUUGUAUUAUUGGUGGAAAUGUAUGUUGGUAGUGUAUGAUUGGUGGAAGGUAUGUUGGUAGUGUAUGAUUGGUGGAAGGUAUGUUGGUAGUGUAUGAUUGGUGGAAGGUAUGUUGGUAUUGUAUUAUUGGUGGAAAGUAUGUUUGUAGUGUAUGAUUGGUUGAAGGUAGGUUGUUAGUGUAUGAUUGGUGGAAGGUAUGUUGGUAGUGUAUGAUUGGUGGAAGUUAUGUUGG